rnacentral:rRNA from 1 species
GUGUCAGCAGCCGCGGUAAUACGGAGGGUGCAAGCAUUAAUCGGAUUUAUUGGGCGUAAAGGGCGCGUAGACGGGGAUAUAAGUCAGAUGUGAAAUCCUGGGGCUCAACCUCAGAACUGCAUUUGAAACUGUAUCUCUUAGAGGGUAGGAGGAGAAAACGGAAUUCCAAAAGUAGCGGUGAAAUGCGUAGAUAUGUGGAAGAACACCGGUGGCGAAGGCGGUUUUCUAUCUUAUUCCUGACGCUGAGGCGCGAAAGCAAGGGGAUCAAACAGGAUUAGAUACCCCGGUAGUCC